AACGAACGCUGGCGGCAGGCUUAACACAUGCAAGUCGAACGGGUGUAGCAAUACAUCAGUGGCAGACGGGUGAGUAACACGUGGGAACCUUCCUAGGGGUACGGAACAACUCAGGGAAACUUGAGCUAAUACCGUAUACGUCCGUAAGGAGAAAGAUUCAUCGCCCCUAGACGGGCCCGCGUCGGAUUAGGUAGUUGGUGGGGUAACGGCCUACCAAGCCUACGAUCCGUAGCUGAUCUGAGAGGANGAUCAGCCACACUGGGACUGAGACACGGCCCAGACUCCUACGGGAGGCAGCAGUGGGGAAUCUUGGACAAUGGGCGCAAGCCUGAUCCAGCCAUGCCGCGUGAGUGAAGAAGGCCUUAGGGUUGUAAAGCUCUUUUACCAGGGACGAUAAUGACGGUACCUGGAGAAUAAGCCCCGGCAAACUUCGUGCCAGCAGCCGCCGUAAU
rnacentral:rRNA from 1 species